GACAGGAAGACUAUUUUCAGAUGCCUCCAGGAAGAUGUCCCCAGCAGUUGUGGGUGGAGGGGCAGGACCCCAGCUCAAUUUAACUUUGCAAUAGACUUUCCCCAUUCAGCUGGAGACUCCCACUUUCCUCUCAGCUGUUAGUCCUCUUUUACUUCCACUCUCCUUUCUUUCCCAUUCUACUGACUGUCCCAUCGUCGUGUCAAAGAACAUGGAUGUUAUUUUCACACCUAUCCAUGUAGUACACAAAUGGAAACAACUUGUUGCAUUUACUUUCUAGCUUACUGGUCACAGAGUGUUCCCAAAAUUAUGAUCUUACUUGAUCCUCAGCCUUCUCAUGAGGUGGGUAAUUUUACUAUUCCCAUUUUACAGAUGGGACAAUAUGGAGCCAGAGGUUUGACCUCAGAGAAGGUGCAUUCCCCACUAUUGAUACCAAAGAGCUUUCUGCUCUGGAACUUGACUUUUACCAAUACUCUUUCAGAAAGACCACUUCCUUCUCCCCUUCCUUUUCCCACUCAGGUCUUCAAUCCUUCAGAGCCCAGCAUGUGCCCCUCACCCAGGAAGUUUACCCCAAGGCUCGCAGUCCGCAUUGGCCUCACCUUUUCUCUGUCUCCUACUCCUUUUCCCCUGGGUGCUCACAGUCACUGCAGGACCUGAUGCUUUGGAGGCAGUGCAACAUGAAGGGAGGGAGGGCAGGGUGGCUGAGGGGCCGUGCCUGAAUCCAGGUGUCUCCCCUUACUAUCUAUGUGAUUCUGAGCAGCUGACAUACCCUCUCUGGGCCUCCACUGAGCACCUCUAUAAAAACGGGCUUAACGGUAGUGCCUCACUCAGAGGGUCUCUGUAUGGAUUAAAUUAGCUGCCCGCUAGCCAAUAAAUGUACAUUGCAUGUGUAUAAGGUGAUGAAAGCAGCUUGAGAACGGGGAUCAUGCCCUUAGAUCUCCCCAAAUGCCUUGUGGAGUGAGCUGCAUGGAACAAUUGUCUAGCAAUUUCUCACCAGGAACAUGGGGAAGGAGAAAUAGACAUUGGAAACAACCCAUCAGGCAUGUGUCCAAACUCAGCCUCUGACUUAUGGCCUCAGAUUUUCUACUCAACCUCCCUGAGCCCCAAUUCCCUUAUCUGUACAAUGGGACUCCUGAACUGUUGGUGGGGGGUAAUGAUUUGAGAUGAGACAUGGAAAAGAUCCUGUGAAGUCCCAGGCAUUUGACAGAUUUAGCAGCCACCACUGUCAACAAAGCCCACCCUCCUUUCUUUGGCCCUUUGGUCCCACCUGCACUUUCCAGAUGGAAACCUCCGCCCUCCUCAUCAUAAGGCUCCCUCUCCCAAGCCUGCUCCUCCCCUUCUGCAGCUGGAGAGAAUUGCUUGUUCCCACAGGGCUUGGCACAGAAUAGGUGCUGUCUUUCUCCUCCUUCCUCUGGCUGCCUUAAGCUUUGCUUUUGCUGCCUUUUAGGUCUUAACAUUUAUGAUAAUCCGCCUUGUAGUACUAAUAACAGCAGAGUCCUUACAAGGUUCCCUGCUCUGCAGUAAGGGCUUUGCAUGCAUCAUCAUCUCAGUAAAUCUUCUGAACAACCCUCUGCCGUCGGUCCUGGCAUAAUUCCUGUUUUAAAAAUGAGUAAACUGAGACUUGAGAGGCUCCUUGACAAGAGAUGACUUGUCCACGGUCUCAGAGCUGGUUAGUUCUGCUAGUGGAGCAGAGUUGCCACCAAGAGAAUCCAGGGGCCUCGGUGGCUUCCCUGGCUGAACCCACUGUGUCCACAUCUGGAUACUUCAGCUGUGAGGCCCCUGAGGGCAACAGCCUGUCUUCAUCAUCUCUGAGUUCCAUACUGGGCCUAGUGAGAGGUACCUAAUGGGGGCUCUAGGCAGGAGUCACAUGACAUGGCUUCAGGGCUUGACCGAUGUCUGUGUGAAUUUGGGCAAGUUACCUGCCUCUCUGAGUGGGACCAUCGCUGCCCAGCUAGCUGGUGGGGAGGACCGGAUGACAUAACAUAUCUGAAAGCCAGCAGUGAUGGGUAGGGGAACCCCUUUGCCCUCCCUCUGCCUGAAGGCCCUGGGGUCUGUGUGGAGACUGAAGGUGCAGGAACCCCAGAGCACCAGCAGGAGUCACCAGCGAGGCAUUCUGCUCCUGAAGGUCCAUGCCAUUCUUUUGGGGCUCUUUCUGGGUUCCACUGAAGACUGUAGCCACAGAAUCCUUCUCCCUUUGUACACUCCACACACUGGGAGGUUGUGAUUCUCCUGUGUGUUGAUCUAUUAUCUCGGGGCAGAAGGCAGGAGAGCCAGCAAUAAGUUCUAUCCCUGGUUUCUGGCUGGAGAAAGCAGGGCUAGGGGAGAGGAAGGCUGUGCCCAGUGAUGCCAACAGCCCCCCAUCCCAGACUGGCCCUGACCUCCUCGGAGGGGGUGGCUGCUUAUGGGGAAGUGCACCACAGUUUGGCUUGAGAAAAAGUACUUGGUGGAACCUUCUGGAAGCAGGGAGCUGGGGAAGGAGGGACUGUCCAUCCUCAGUUUUCCUAGUAAUAGUGGGAAGGAUGGGCACCCCUUGGUGUUUAAGGGGGCUGCUGCAGACAGGGAGCAGGACAGUCAGUCUUCCUGCUUCUCUCUACUUGGCCCUAACUCCUUUGGGGCUCCAUCUCUCUGAUUCUUUCCUCUUCCUGAUAGCUUUCAACCAGUCUUGAGCACCUUCCUAAACAGACACCUGCUCCCUAAACUCAGGGCAAGUGCUAUUUAUUCAGCCUAUGCGGCUCUUGUUUGCUUUCAUUCUGCUCCUUCUUCCAGGGUUAUCAUCUUCAAAAUCACCAUCUCCUUGGUAAAGUCAGUCCUGACUCAGCCUGGGAUUGACUGCUGUCUGCUGUGGCCCCCAUCUCACAGGAAUGAGCCCUUCCUUGAGAGCACUGAGCUCAGUUGUUUACAGGCCUGGGCAUCUGCUUUUCCACUCAGCACAAGAGGGAAUAUACUUAUUAAGAUGGGUCUUUCUGAGAGGGAAGAAGGAGCAUCCCAGAGGGAAUGACAUGUGCAACGAGCCUGUGGAAAGAGGGCAGAGAGAGAUCAAAGGCCUGAGACAACCAGCAUCGAGCUAAAGUGGGCUGAUGAGAGGGAAGGGGAGGAGAGGACAGACCAAGGAGGCAGGAUAAUGAGAGCUUCCUGCGCACCAGGCCCCAUUAGAAAUGCUUACCACAUUCAAUUCACAACCACCUUAGGAGAUAGGUACCAUUAUUGCCUCAUUCAUAGA
ensembl:lncRNA